GUGAGUAAAAGCAAGGAGAGCCAAAGGCUUUCCGCCUCUUCUGCCAGCUACAGCUGAAUGAUUCCUUGGAGACAUGCCUGGAAGUAGCAAUCUAAGAAAUCUCUUCUGAACCACCGGAUGAUUCCCAUCCAGGAGCAGAGCUGCCUCUGGUGUGCAAGCCUGGCCAGAUGCUCUGAACUGAGAAGCUGUCUGUACCAUGCCCUUCUGCCAUGAAGUUCCUGCCUUCGAGCCCAGUGACUGAGUCUCCUGAAACUUUUCACUUUUCACAGGAGGACAACAGUGGAGGGACAUUUGUUCAUGGGCCCUCAUGUGGAG